rnacentral:rRNA from 1 species
UACGAAGGGGGCUAGCGUUGCUCGGAAUUACUGGGCGUAAAGCGCCCGUAGGCGGCUUGUUAAGUCAGGGGUGAAAUCCUGGAGCUCAACUCCAGAACUGCCUUUGAUACUGGCGAGCUUGAGUUCGGGAGAGGUGAGUGGAACUGCGAGUGUAGAGGUGAAAUUCGUAGAUAUUCGCAAGAACACCAGUGGCGAAGGCGGCUCACUGGCCCGAUACUGACGCUGAGGUGCGAAAGCGUGGGGAGCAAACAGG